AUGUCCUUAAAACCAGAUGAGGCACUACAAGAAGUCCUUCACCCAGUGCCACACAGUUACUCCACCUAUUCACCCAAGAUUAGUAAGCCAGCAAGAAACAAAGGUGUUGAGAGAUGUCACUGGCCUAGGAUCAAGCCCAAUCACAGCUGGGCAGAGAGGUCUCCAAAGCUCAGGAGCAGACCCUGGUCCCCCAUAAGGAUCCUGGAACCUCCCACAGCAAUGAAUCUUCAUCCCAAUGACUGCUCCCAGAUGGUGAGAAAUCUGAGACAGAAGAAGAAAUUCAUCAUUCUUAUCAUUGUUCUUAUCAUUUCUUUAUUGUAUUCAUUGCUUUGCUAA
rnacentral:lncRNA from 1 species